rnacentral:rRNA from 1 species
GAUGAACGCUGGCGGCGUGCCUAAUACAUGCAAGUCGAGCGAACAGACGAGGAGCUUGCUCCUCUGACGUUAGCGGCGGACGGGUGAGUAACACGUGGAUAACCUACCUAUAAGACUGGGAUAACUUCGGGAAACCGGAGCUAAUACCGGAUAAUAUAUUGAACCGCAUGGUUCAAUAGUGAAAGACGGUUUUGCUGUCACUUAUAGAUGGAUCCGCGCCGAAUUAGCUAGUUGGUAAGUUAACGGCUUACCAAGGCAACGAUGCGUAGCCGACCUGAGAGGGUGAUCGGCCACACUGGAACUGAGACACGGUCCAGACUCCUACGGGAGGCAGCAGUAGGGAAUCUUCCGCAAUGGGCGAAAGCCUGACGGAGCAACGCCGCGUGAGUGAUGAAGGUCUUCGGAUCGUAAAACUCUGUUAUUAGGGAAGAACAAAUGUGUAAGUAACUAUGCACGUCUUGACGGUACCUAAUCAGAAAGCCACGGCUAACUACGUG